rnacentral:tRNA from 1 species
AGGGCUAUAGCCAAGCGGUAAGGCAGUUGGCUCUGAACCAACUAUACAGGGGUUCGAAUCCCUUUAGCCCUGCCA